rnacentral:rRNA from 1 species
CCUACGGGUGGCAGCAGUGGGGAAUAUUGCACAAUGGGGGAAACCCUGAUGCAGCAACGCCGCGUGAGCGAUGAAGGCCUUCGGGUCGUAAACUUCUAUCAGCAGGGAAGAAGAAAGUGACAGUACCUGACUAAGAAGCUCCGGCUAACUACGUGCCAGCAGCCGCGGUAAUACGUAGGGGGCAAGCGUUAUCCGGAAUCACUGGGUGUAAAGGGUGCGUAGGCGGUAGGGCAAGUCAGAUGUGAAAGCCCGGAGCUCAACUCCGGGAAUGCAUUUGAAACUGUCUUACUAGAGUGCAGGAGAGGAAAGCGGAAUUCUUAGUGUAGCGGUGAAAUGCGUAGAUAUUAGGAAGAACACCAGUGGCGAAGGCGGCUUUCUGGACUGUAACUGACGCUGAGGCACGAAAGCGUGGGGAGCGAACAGGAUUAGAUACCCGAGUAGUC